UGGGGAAUUUUGGACAAUGGGCGAAAGCCUGAUCCAGCAAUGCCGCGUGUGUGAAGAAGGCCUUCGGGUUGUAAAGCACUUUUGUCCGGAAAGAAAUCCUUGGCUCUAAUACAGUCGGGGGAUGACGGUACCGGAAGAAUAAGCACCGGCUAACUACGUGCCAGCAGCCGCGGUAAUACGUAGGGUGCAAGCGUUAAUCGGAAUUACUGGGCGUAAAGCGUGCGCAGGCGGUUUGCUAAGACCGAUGUGAAAUCCCCGGGCUCAACCUGGGAACUGCAUUGGUGACUGGGCAGGCUAGAGUAUGGCAGAGGGGGGUAGAAUUCCACGUGUAGCAGUGAAAUGCGUAGAGAUGUGGAGGAAUACCGAUGGCGAAGGCAGCCCCCUGGGCCAAUACUGACGCUCAUGCACGAAAGCGUGGGGAGCAAACAGGAUUAGAUACCCUGGUAGUCCACGCCCUAAACGAUGUCAACUAGUUGUUGGGGAUUCAUUCUUAGUAACGUAGCUAACGCGUGAAGUUGACCGCCUGGGGAGUACGGUCGCAAGAUUAAAACUCAAAUGAAUUGACGGGGUCAUAGCU
rnacentral:rRNA from 1 species